UCUUCAGUGAGGUACAUCCUUACCUGUUACUCCUUCCGGGGAGUUGCAGAACAUGAUGAAUGGAGCACUAUGAGAUAUGAUUAUUAUCUCCGCUCUAUGGGGAACAGCAACACCCCGUAGAGACCAUUCUGAC
ensembl:snoRNA U8 U8 small nucleolar RNA